UUUUUUUCAAAAAUCAUUGUAAUAUAAAGCUCAUAUGCUAACUCAUCUUUAUGCCAUGCGGAAAGGAGAAGGGAACGAUAGGUUUUGAAAGCAUUCUGCAUUAGAUUUCUCUAACUGAAAAACUUUAAAUUAUUUUCUCUGCAUCUUAAUAAAAGAAUUUUGUUGGGGUAUUGUUGUGGUCGAAAAGGAGCCACCAAAGCCACGGAAAUUUGACUUAAAAUAGAGAGCAGUGCUUGCAAGAGAUGGAAGGUGCGAGGAGGAGAGUUGUGGACGAGAUCCCUGAGUGGCUGCAUAGUGGUUGGAUUACUGAAUAUAAGGCAUCUAUGCUUGCCCAGAUUCAAGACCAGAAGAACAUUGCUUGGAUGGAAGGCCUAGUUGGUUGGACCAUGUGGGUUGAGAAUCAUGACUACAUUAUAUUAUACUGCUUCGUUUGUAUAUGGUGCUUUUUGCUGUGACUUUGAUGGUUGAGGCUUAGCCUUCGGGUUGUCUUUUGUAUUUCUCUGUUACUCUCGAUAUCAUAAAUUAAAAACUAAAGAAAUAAAUUAUUGUAAAGAUAUCAUGGCUUCAAACCCUUGGUUUCUCAUUGUUUCUUCUUUGCUUUGUCAUUUUCUAGAACUUUUAAAUCAAUUUUUUA